rnacentral:sRNA from 1 species
GUGACAUAUGUCCUCCAAUUGAUCUUCAUAGUUGAUUAAGCUGGUCUGACUAGCUAGGUGUGUGUCC